rnacentral:rRNA from 1 species
UACGGAGGGAGCUAGCGUUGUUCGGAAUUACUGGGCGUAAAGCGUACGUAGGCGGUUAUUCAAGUCAGAGGUGAAAGCCCGGGGCUCAACCCCGGAACUGCCUUUGAAACUAGAUAGCUAGAAUCUUGGAGAGGUCAGUGGAAUUCCGAGUGUAGAGGUAGAAAUUCGUAGAUAUUCGGAAGAACACCAGUGGCGAAGGCGGCUCUCGUGGAACGCAACUGACGCUGAGACG